CUGUCUUCCCAGCCUGUGGGCCCCUUGGUCUUUCUCUCUCCUAGUCUUUACUAACUGUUGCCUUAGCCCUUGGUUAAAGACUUAGGCAGAAAAUACAUUUUCUUCAGGCAAUCUGACAGCUGGAGCCAAUGGGAAAUGGGUAGCAUGUCAGAGGAGCCUGAUUCCUGGGCUGGGCAGGGCUGUGUGGUAGGGUGAGAGCAACGGCCACAACGAACAGCAGAAGGGGGACUCUUAUUUUUAACAGCUGUGCUUUGGGGCACAAGGCAGAAAAUGUUUCUUUCUACCUUCUCCCAGGGGCAGGGACAAACAGCAGUGACUCUGUGGGUGACUGAAGAUGAAGUAAUUGCUGGGUUCUGAUUAGGAAUAGAGGAAGAUUGCCUUCUGCCCACGCGCCAGCCUCCGAGUGGCUGAAGGUGCUGGAGGCAGAGGAUAAGAAGGGAGGUGGCCCCUGUUGGCUCCGAUAAGCAGCUUGGACACCAGCCCUGAAGCAGGGAAAAGACAGAUGUACUAAUUGUCAUGGAUGGCAAACUGUGCCCCCAAACUUGUACCAAGCCUCAAAGCCUUGGUUUAAUACUCCUGAAGGAGUAAUAGACCCAAUGUGACAUUUUGCAUGCAGGAACCCCUUAACAGCUACCUCCAUAUUAUGCGUGCUUCAUGAAUGGAGACACCUACGUUAUAUGAAGUUCUCUAUUGGGCUGUAAACUUCCUGAGACAGGCCUUCUGGGAAAUUACUCUCUACAUCCCAGGACUGCAAUGUCCAGUGCAGACCCGUGCAUUUAGAUGUUUCCAAAAUAGCAGUUGUUUCCGCGGCAUUAUGUUCUGCUGGCCUAGAGGUCUUAGUUCCAGAGGGAGGAAUGCUGCCACCAAGAGACACAACAAUGAUUCCAUUAAACUGGAAGUUAAGAUUGCCACCUGGCCACUUUGGGCUCUUCUUACUUUUAAGCCAACUUGCUAAGAAGGGAGUUACAGUGUUUGACCCAGACUAUCAAGAUGAAAUCAGUCUACUACUCCACAAUGGCGGUAAGGAAGUAUGCGUGGAAUACAGGAGAUCACGUAGGGCGUCUCUUAAUAUUACCAUGCCCUGUGAUUAAGGUCAAUGGGAAACUGCAACAGCCCAAUCCAGGCAGGAUGACAAAUGGCCCAGACCCUUCAGGAAUGAAGGUUUGGGUCACUCCACCAGGUAAAAAAAACAUAAUCUGCUGAGGUGCUUGCUGAAGGCAAACGGAAUUCAGAAUGGGUAGUCAAAGAAGGUAGUCAUCAAUACGAACUAUGACCAUGUGACCAGCUGCAGAAAAUGAGGACUGUAAUUGUCAUGAGUAUUUCCUCCUCCUUUUGUUAGGAACAUGUUUGUGCAUAUAUACACUUGUAUUAAGAAAAUAUCUUCAUUUUAUUUCCUUUCUUUUGCCUUUAUCAUGUGACAUAAGACUUACUGACUUGAUAUCAGCACUUAAGUGUUGUUAACUCUAUGUAAUAGCAUUUGGGUUGGGGAUUGGUGCGUUUCCGGUUGUACAAAGGAUAGCUGUAUUAUGUUAAGCGUAAUUAUGACCUUAUUAUUGUCUUUAUUUGAAGAUCAUGUAUGAUUUCAGGAGACGUGUAUGGGUUCAAGUUGACAAGGGGUGGACUGGUGAUGGUUAAUAUUGUCAACUAGAUUGGAUUGAAAGAUGCAAAGUAUUGUUCCUGGGUGUGUCUGUGAGGGUAUUGCCAAAGGCGAUUAACAUUUGAGUCAAUGGACUAGGAAAGGCAGACCCACCUCAAUCUGGAUGGGCACAAUGUAAUCAACUGUCAGCUAGGCCAGAAUAAAAGCAGACAGAAGAACGUGGAAAGACCAGACUGGUUUAGCCUCUGAGCCUACGUCUUUCUCCCAUGCUGGACGCUUCCUGCCCUCGAAUAUUGAACUCCAAGGUCUUCAACUUUGGGAUUCGGACUGGCUUCCUUGCCCCUCAGCUUGCAGGCAGCCUACUGUGGGACCUCAUCUGGUGAUCAUCUGAGUCAAUAUUCCGUAAUAACUCUGAUUUAUAUAUACAUCUAUCCUAUUAGUUCUAUCCCGCUAGAGAACUCUGAUUAAUAGAGCAGUUGAGUUGCAUCUUCAGACAUGAACCAAGUGUCUGGCUUUGGUCUCAAAGAGACUGAAUUAGACUCUUAGCUCUGCCAAUUACUUGGCAGGAACCACUAGGCAAAUUACUGAUAAUCUUUGUGCCUUAGUCUUACUCUUCUGCUAAAUGAAGCUAAUAAUAUUUAUUAUUAUUAGCUCAUGGAGAUGCAGAAUAAAGUGAGAUAACAUUUAAAUGCCUGAAAAAUGCCUGGCACAUGAUAGGCAGUAAACAGUAGUGUCAUUUCAAAACAACAUUCUCGCCAGGUGCGGUGGUUCACGCCUGUAAUCCCAGCACUUUGGGAGGCCGAGGCAGGCAGAUCACAAGGUCAGGAGAUCGAGACCAUCCUGGCCAACAUGGUGAAAUCCCCAUCCCUAAUAAAUAACAAAAAUUAGCUGGACAUGGUGGCACGUGCCUGUAAUCCCAGCUACUCGAGAGCCUGAGGCAGGAGAAUCGCUUGAACAGGAAGUCAGAGGUUGCGGUAAGCUGAGAUGGCGCCACUGUACUCACAGAGGUUGCAGUGAGCCGAUCGCGCCAGCCUGGUGACAGAGCGAGACUCUGUUUCAAAAAAAAAAAAAGCAUUCUUGGCUGGGUGAGGUGGCUCACACCUUGUAAUCCCAGCACUUUGGGAGGCCGAGGUAGGCGAAUCACCUGAGGUUGGGAGUUCGAGACCAGCCUGGACAACGUGGUGAAACCCCCCUCUCUACUAAAAAUACAAAAAAUUAGCCAGGUGUGAUGGCGUAUGCCUGUAAUCACAGCUACUUGGGAGGCUGAGGCAGAAGAAUCGCUUGAACCCAGGAGGCGGAGGUUGCAGUGAGCCAAGAUGGGACCACUGCACUCUAGCCUGGGCAACAAAGAGAGACUCCGUCUC
rnacentral:lncRNA from 1 species